rnacentral:lncRNA from 1 species
UCGAGAGUAAAACAAGCCACAAAUCUCAUACAAAUAUUGCGCCUAUAAUUGUAGAGAAAAUAAAAUUCAUGCCAAUCAUUCAAUAAUUAAAAACAUGUUUUAAUGUCAAAUAAAUAAAAUUCAAAAUUAAGGGUUCAUAAUAUAAGGUUCAUCGCAAAUCCUAGCACGAAAAGAUCUAGCCUAACAUAACGACAAAAUUAAAUAAAUAAAAGUGGAACGACAUCACCAAUAAUUGACGAAACGUGAUCGACAUCCAAAUUCCUUCCAAAAGUAAUUUGAAAUUAUCCCUCAACGGCUUGUUGUCCGUCUCUGUCUCUGCCGUCUGCAUGUAUAUAUUUCUCUAUUUUUCUCCAACAGCCGCCCACUUUUAUUGCCAAUGAAAGAGUCCAAUUCCAGCCUUCUUUCUGUUCCUUUUAAUUCCUUCAGCUGCUUCAACUUUCGUGGGAAUUAUAUAUGUAAUUCAGCUUGCAGCCAACCAAUUAAUUCCACACAGCUAGCCGUCUUUAUCAAUUCAGCAACUUAAUUCCCCAGCUAUUUCAAUCUGCCGCUUUCUGUGCAUCCAAUAAUAUAAAUUCAGCCCCCGGCACUCCCUUCAACCUGCCGUUUUCUUUUGUAUUUAAUUUAUUCAACUCAGCCGGCUUCCUCUCAAUUUGCCGCCGACUUGAAUAAUCCCAAAAGGGAUUCUAAUUUCAUCCCACGGCUGCCUCCUCCUCGCCGUUUUCUGUCUAUGCGUUUAUGAAUUUUGUCUACUCCCUGCCUGCUUUUCUCUGCUGCAAGUGUACAUAUAAAUUAGAAGCCCAAGUCCAAUAAGUUUUGUGUACUCAAUUCUUUUGUGUAAUGCAAGUUAGUCCUUCUCUUCAUUUUCUCCUCAAUUUUGAUCCUCCAUCUUUUAUUCCGCGAGAUUUUGUCCACAAACUCAAUGUAAUAGCCAAUUGAUUAUUUUCUUUUCCAAUUGCUUCAAAACGGGUCCAUAACUAAAAACAAAAGAAAAUUAACACAAGUUAGGUAAAAAUUGAUAAUUUGACGACAUAAAAAUCUAAUUAUGUAGUCCGAAUAAGUGCAUAAAAUGCACUUAUC